AACGAACGCUGGCGGCAUGCCUAACACAUGCAAGUCGAACGAUACCUUCGGGUCUUUUUGCGCUCGGGUUCGUAACGCGUGGUAACCUUCCCUUAUGUUCGGUAUAACUCCCCUUAUGGUGUGCUAAUACCGGUUAAUUUCUUCUGACCAAAGAUUUCUGGCCUUUGGAUGGGCCCGCGUUGGAUUAGCUUGUUGGUAGUGUAAAAGCCUACCAACGCGAGGAUCCAUAGCUGGUAUGAGAGGAUGAUAAGCCACACUGGGAGUGAGACACGGCCGAGACUGGUACGGGAGGGAGGAGUGGGGAAUAGAGGAAAAGGGGGGAAAGGAAGAAAAAGCAAUGAGGGGAGAGAGAGGAAGGGGGUAGGGAAGUAAAGCAGAAUUAAACGGGAAGAUAAUGACAGUAACGGGAGAAAAAGCACCGGCUAACUACGUG
rnacentral:rRNA from 1 species